GACACAAGGGUUCCCCACAAACCCUAGUUCAUGCAAAUUCCAUCAAAUUGAAGGCCCUAAUCAGUUCCAAAUCGAUUUUCAAGCACAAAUUCACGAUCACCUCGUUGAAGGGAUCAAAAGGCAAAGGAAUUGAAUCUUCAAGCGGUCGAGUCGGAGCGGACGCGCGCUUGAAGGAUAUGCUUUAAAAGGUGAAUGUCAAGAAUGCCCGGAUGAAGAUCAAGCUCGAUGAGGAACCGAACACGAUAAAGUUAAAGGCUUCCGCACGGCGAUUCGUCCUAUCUCUUAAACGAC